rnacentral:rRNA from 1 species
GACGAACGCUGGCGGCGUGCUUAACACAUGCAAGUCGAACGGAAAGGCCCUGCUUUUGUGGGGUGCUCGAGUGGCGAACGGGUGAGUAACACGUGAGUAACCUGCCCUUGACUUUGGGAUAACUUCAGGAAACUGGGGCUAAUACCGGAUAGGAGCUCCUGCUGCAUGGUGGGGGUUGGAAAGUUUCGGCGGUUGGGGAUGGACUCGCGGCUUAUCAGCUUGUUGGUGGGGUAGUGGCUUACCAAGGCUUUGACGGGUAGCCGGCCUGAGAGGGUGACCGGCCACAUUGGGACUGAGAUACGGCCCAGACUCCUACGGGAGGCAGCAGUGGGGAAUAUUGCACAAUGGGCGGAAGCCUGAUGCAGCAACGCCGCGUGCGGGAUGACGGCCUUCGGGUGGUAAACCGCUUUCGCCUGUGGCGAAGCGUGAGUGACGGUAAUGGGUAAAGAAGCACCGGCUAACUACGU